rnacentral:tRNA from 1 species
GUCCAUGUAGUAUAUUCAUUACACUGGUCUUGUAAGCCAGAAAAGGGGAUAACCUCCCCCCAUAGACU